UGAUUAACCUAUAAAUACGGUGUCUAGUAAGACUUAAUAGGGAAUCUGGUGCAAUUCCAGAGCUGUUCCCGCAACUGUAAGUGCUGACGAAAUAAGUGAUCCACUGUCCAUUAGGAUGGGAAGGACUUAAAGUAGGUGCAAAGCACGAGUCAGGAGACCUGCCAUAUUUAUAACGUGUUA
rnacentral:ncRNA from 2 species